rnacentral:tRNA from 1 species
GCUGGGAGAGCAUCUGCCUUACAAGCAGAGGGUCGGCGGUUCGAGCCCGUCAUCCUCCACCAUUUUUCAUUAUACA